ensembl:snRNA U6 U6 spliceosomal RNA
GUGCAUGCGUGUGUGUGUACUAAACUGGAAUGUUAGAGAGAAGAUUAGCAUGAUCUCUGUGCAAAGAGACAUAAGCAUUUGUGAAACAUCCCAUAUUUUG